rnacentral:rRNA from 1 species
ACGCUGGCGGCAGGCCUAACACAUGCAAGUCGAGCGGUAGAGAGAAGCUUGCUUCUCUUGAGAGCGGCGGACGGGUGAGUAAUGCCUAGGAAUCUGCCUGGUAGUGGGGGAUAACGUUCGGAAACGGACGCUAAUACCGCAUACGUCCUACGGGGGAAAGCAGGGGACCUUCGGGCCUUGCGCUAUCAGAUGAGCCUAGGUCGGAUUAGCUAGUUGGUGAGGUAAUGGCUCACCAAGGCGACGAUCCGUAACUGGUCUGAGAGGAUGAUCAGUCACACUGGAACUGAGACACGGUCCAGACUCCUACGGGAGGCAGCAGUGGGGAAUAUUGGACAAUGGGCGAAAGCCUGAUCCAGCCAUGCCGCGUGUGUGAAGAAGGUCUUCGGAUUGUAAAGCACUUUAAGUUGGGAGGAAGGGCAGUUACCUAAUACGUGAUUGUUUUGACGUUACCGACAGAAUAAGCACCGGCUAACUCUGUGCCAGCAGCCGCGGUAAUACAGAGGGUGCAAGCGUUAAUCGGAAUUACUGGGCGUAAAGCGCGCGUAGGUGGUUUGUUAAGUUGGAUGUGAAAUCCCCGGGCUCAACCUGGGAACUGCAUUCAAAACUGACUGACUAGAGUAUGGUAGAGGGUGGUGGAAUUUCCUGUGUAGCGGUGAAAUGCGUAGAUAUAGGAAGGAACACCAGUGGCGAAGGCGACCACCUGGACUGAUACUGACACUGAGGUGCGAAAGCGUGGGGAGCAAAC